AGCGAACGCUGGCAGCAGGCCUAACACAUGCAAGUCGAACGAAGUCUUCGGACUUAGUGGCGGACGGGUGAGUAACACGUGGGAACGUGCCUUUAGGUUCGGAAUAACUUAGGGAAACUUGUGCUAAUACCGAAUGUGCCCUUCGGGGGAAAGAUUUAUCGCCUUUAGAGCGGCCCGCGUCUGAUUAGCUAGUUGGUGAGGUAAAGGCUCACCAAGGCGACGAUCAGUAGCUGGUCUGUGAGGAUGAUCAGCCACAUUGGGACUGAGACACGGCCCAAACUCCUACGGGAGGAAGCAGUGGGGAAUCUUGCGCAAUGGGCGAAAGCCUGACGCAGCCAUGCCGCGUGAAUGAUGAAGGUCUUAGGAUUGUAAAAUUCUUUCACCGGGGACGAUAAUGACGGUACCCGGAGAAGAAGCCCCGGCUAACUUCGUGCCAGCCGCCGCCGUAA
rnacentral:rRNA from 1 species